ACGUAGGGUGCGAGCGUUGUCCGGAAUUACUGGGCGUAAAGGGCUCGUAGGUGGUUUGUCGCGUCGUCUGUGAAAUUCCGGGGCUUAACUCCGGGCGUGCAGGCGAUACGGGCAUAACUUGAGUACUGUAGGGGUAACUGGAAUUCCUGGUGUAGCGGUGAAAUGCGCAGAUAUCAGGAGGAACACCGAUGGCGAAGGCAGGUUACUGGGCAGUUACUGACGCUGAGGAGCGAAAGCAUGGGUAGCGAACAG
rnacentral:rRNA from 1 species